GCCGGGGUGGCGGAAUUGGUAGACGCAGCGGACUUAAAAUCCGCUGGGCAAUUUGCCCGUGCGGGUUCGAGCCCCGCCCUCGGUACCA
rnacentral:tRNA from 1 species